rnacentral:rRNA from 2 species
UGGGGGAUAUUGCACAAUGGGCGCAAGCCUGAUGCAGCAACGCCGCGUGCGGGAAGACGGCCUUCGGGUUGUAAACCGCUGUCCUUGGGGAAGAAACAAAUGACGGUACCCAAGAAGGAAGCCACGGCUAACUACGUGCCAGCAGCCGCGGUAAUACGUAGGUGGCAAGCGUUGUCCGGAUUUACUGGGUGUAAAGGGGGCGCAGGCGGGAAGCUAAGUUGGAUGUGAAAUACCGGGGCUCAACUCCGGAGCUGCAUCCAAAACUGGUUUUCUUGAGUGGAGUAGAGGCAAGCGGAAUUCCGAGUGUAGCGGUGAAAUGCGUAGAUAUUCGGAGGAACACCAGUGGCGAAGGCGGCUUGCUGGGCUCUAACUGACGCUGAGGCCCGAAAGCGUGGGGAGCAAACAGG